rnacentral:lncRNA from 1 species
CGGGGCUGGGGGCGGGGCUGGCGGGCCGUUCGAACGGCGCUGCCGCUGCUGGUGGCGCUCGGGCCGGGCUGCGGGCGUGUGCCCCCGGGCAGCCCAACACAACACAGCCCGGCCCGGCCCGGCCUGGCCUGGCCUCCCUCCUCUCCAGAGUGCCCGAGGGGCUGGCAAGGCUUCCUUCCCGGGGGAACAGGCCGCGCUGCUGCCGCCGGCUCCUCCGCCGCCGCUCCGCGACAGACAAUGGACGAGCAGGGUCCUGGGGAAACGUGGCCCCGCCACACUACGAAGCAGGAGUAUGUUGCCAGGGCAACAGAGUGUAAGCAGGAGCACAGCACCUUGCAGAUCACAAAGGCAAAGCUGCAGAAAGACAUUUCAGCGAGUUUCUCUCUCCCUUUUGCAAUGUAAUGACAACUUAUUUUUCAUGCACUGAUUUAAUAAUCUUAUUGAAAGAUCCUUUCCCGGUUUCUCUUAUUCUUGUCUGUCUGAGCACGGACAAAGGCAAAAAUCUGGAAUUGUCAAGCCCACUGGGCUCAGCAAACUAACAGAUGUAAUAUGUUUAGCAUUUUUAUGUAAUUACUUUUUAUUGCUAUUUUACCCUACUUCUAUUCCUCCCCAGUUAGAUGCUGCUUCCCUUCCAUUCCAAACCAAUCAGGGGAUGGAGAGGGGCUGGGGGAGAGUUGGUAAUUGACGGCAUUAAUCGGGAAUUAUUAGUGGGACGUGUUUUCAGAGGUGGGGGUUGGGUGCAGCAAGAGACCUUUUAGGAAGGGUGAAUUGAAUUAUGGGCGAUGCAAUAAUGAAGCCUGUGGGCUGUGAGCUGUAGAGGACACUCAUCCUCACAGAGCUCUGAGUGUUAUUUAUCACGGGCUCUGCUCUCUGGGUGAAAACCAGCACGUUGCCCUGCUGACAUCCUCUGGGUGAGGGGCUCUCAACUAGAUGGGCUGAAAAACAAGCUGAUUUGGGAUGAUUAAAAAUGGAAAUGUCUAGAGAUCGUCGAUGUUGGUUAGACUGGGAGCAGAAAUGCUGCAGCCAAACCCUCAGCAAGGCGCAGUGUGCCCAGUCUGUCCCUUGUAAACGUUUUGCUUCUUUCCCAAGGGCCAGGCUGAGGAGGGAAGAUGUGGAAAGGAAUCGUUGCAGGCUGCAGAAUGGGAGGUAGGGGAAGGCUCUGUGAAAUGGAGUACAAAAGCUCUGGGUCACCUCACCUUGGCUGA